AGCAUUGGAACUUUAGCUUUAUGCUACAACAAUAGCCAAUUCUUCAGAGGCCCUGUGAAAAUGAGACGCGGUCUUGCUGCUGUAAUUUUUUGUCAGACAAACACAAUGUCUGAUGUUUACGGUGCCUUCUAUGAUUUCCUUGCUUUAAUGAAAUCCAAGAUCCCCUUAUGUAGGUUGAUAAGAAGGAUCCAAAUGCCACAAAAACACUAAGCAAAAUUGAAGCAAUCCAAAGUAUCUGUAAGAAUUCUGGAACCCUGAAAAAAAGGAAGCUGCACAUUGUGAGGACUAAGUCAACAUACUCUCCAAUCAUGAUGAUGGUGUUCUUCAUUGUUCUGGCAAUCAUCUAUGCUCGUCUGUCUUCCAACCAACAGAAUAACUAAAUAUUAAACAGUGGUAUGGCUUCUUGUGCAGUGGCGUGGCUUUUUUACUGUAUGGGUUCGCUUACUUUCUCUAAGCAUGAAUUCGUGAAACCAAUGUUUUUUUCAAGUAACUGCCUUGUAAUAAUACGCUUUGUAUUUUCUAACUUCUGAUUCAACUUGAGGAUCAGUUUAUAGUUCCUGUUUUGCUAAAUAAUUAAUACCUUUGAUUGGAAGGUUUAGUGAUGAACAUCACCCGUCUAAAAAUAAAAUAAAAUUGGGAAUAAAUUGAUAACGCUUGUUGUUUGA